GAUGAAGAACGUAGUGAAAUGCGAUAAGUAAUGUGAAUUGCAGAAUUCAGUGAAUCAUCGAAUCUUUGAACGCACCUUGCGCUCCUUGGUAUUCCUUGGAGCAUGCCUGUUUGAGUAUCAUGAGCAAAUCUCAAAGUCGAUCCUUUUGUUAAUUCAAUCGGUUUGCUUUGGACUUGGAGGCCUUGCAGAUUUCACCGUCUGCUCCUCUUAAAUGCAUUAGCUGGAUCUCAGUAUUAUGCUUGGUUCCACUCGGCGUGAUAAGUAUCACUCGCUGAGGACACUGUAAAAGGUGGCCAGGAAAAUACUGAUCGAACCGCUUCUAACGGUCUAUUAACUUAGACAAUUACCCUUAAGUUUGAUCUCAAAUCAGGUAGGACUACCCGCUGAACUUAAGCAUAUCAAUAAGCGGAGGA
rnacentral:misc_RNA from 1 species